GCCUUAGUAGCUAACAUUUUAAAGCACCGGCCUUGUAAGCCGAAGAGCGGGGACUCACACACCCCCUAAGACA
rnacentral:tRNA from 1 species